UAACCACUCAAGCUCUCGCUUGGUCUUGGGGUGCGCGGUCUCGCGGCCCUUAAAAUCAGUGGCGGUGCCUGUCGGCUCUACGCGUAGUAAUACUCCUCGCGAUUGAGUCCGGUAGGUCUACUUGCUAGCAACCCCGAAUUUUUACA
rnacentral:misc_RNA from 1 species